CCUACGGGUGGCUGCAGUGGGGAAUAUUGGGCAAUGGGCGCAAGCCUGACCCAGCAACGCCGCGUGAAGGAAGAAGGCUUUCGGGUUGUAAACUUCUUUUGAGAGGGAAGAGCAGAAGCCGGUACCUCUUGUAUAAGCUUCGCCUAACUACGUGCCAGCAGCCGCGGUAAUACGUAGUUGGCAAGCGUUGUACGGAUUUACUGGCGGUAAAGGUCGUGCAGGCGGGAAGACAAGUCAGAUGUGAACUCCUCCGGCUCAACCGGGGAACUGCCUUGGGAACGGUGUUUCUUGAGUACCGGAGAGGUGAGCGGAAUUCCAUGUGUAGCGGUGAAAUGCGUAGAUAUAAGGAAGAACACCAGUGGCGAAGGCGGAUGUCUGGACGGCAACUGACGGUGAGGCGCGAAAGCGUGGGGAGCAAACAGGAUUAGAUACCCCAGUAGUC
rnacentral:rRNA from 1 species